UACAGAGGGUGCGAGCGUUAAUCGGAAUUACUGGGCGUAAAGCGCGCGUAGGCGGCUUUGCAAGUCGGGUGUGAAAUCCCCAGGCUUAACCUGGGAACUGCAUUCGAGACUGCAUUGCUAGAGUAUGGGAGAGGGAAGUGGAAUUUCAGGUGUAGCGGUGAAAUGCGUAGAUAUCUGAAGGAACAUCAGUGGCGAAAGCGGCUCUCUGGACGGAUACUGACGCUGAGGCGCGAAAGCGUGGGGAUCAAACAGG
rnacentral:rRNA from 1 species